CAGGAAAGAACGAACCGUAAAAGAGCAGUCGUUACAACAUGUCUAUGGAGACACAGUUUCGUAUGCGGUUCAUCCACAGUGUGAAAUUUCCGCGUACGCACGAGUAUCAAAUAUCGCGAAAGAGCUUCUCAGCUUUUAUAAUACGAUGUAUCAAUACGAAACUUCUAACCGGUAUCGUACUCGUACGUGAGGUGUAGAGGGUUAUUCAUCGAUCGAUCAUGUUUUCAAUCUACUGGUCUGUUCGACAAGAAAAAUUCAGUGGUCGUGAAAUCGUUGACGUCGAUCUAGUGGAACGGGAAAGAAUAAAUAGGACGAUCGAGAAAGAGAUCUAACGAUAUGCACCUACUAGCUACGAAAUCUUUGCGGCUGAUUAAGCUCUUCAAAUUAUUGCAAAAAGAAAAAAAAUAACAAUCCCUGGAGUUUCGUAGAAUAAUUUCUUUGAAUUAGUGUUGGAUCUAUUUAAUACCGAUGAAAGAUGACAAAUAUAUAGACUCUAAUAGUAAAUAAAAUAUUAAAUAAGAUGCUAAACGUGUAAAUAGAAUAUUGCAAUACUGUAUCGCAAUACUGAUUAUAGAAGAAACUGCAAAAUUUAUUUGAAAAUAUUAAACAGCGUUUCACGAAGAAUACAAAGCUGAGAGUUUUAUUAUCGCAAACAAUCAGAGUUCAAGAUAAGACGAAUAAAUUGGAAAAAUAAACUGCAGUUAGAGAGUCAUUCAAUUUUAUGAGUUCUUAACAACCAUGCGCUGGCUCAGCAGUGAAAACAGUCGAGACGAGGUAAAAAGGAGAAAUUAUUUCACUCUGCAAAAAGGAACUAAUAAGCAAUUUUCUAGCGGUUGUGGAGGAUCAGAAUAUGAAAUUGCAGAAAUAUUCGCAGUUGGGUAAUAAUAAAUGUGUUUGAGAAUAAUUGUUAAUUAUAAAUUUAUAUUCAUAUUCGAUCAAACAAAUUUGAUUAAAUUGAUUUUCUUUUCUUGCAUUCUCCGUUACUAGGUUUUUAAUACUAACUUCUUGGUCACAAACUCAUAACAUUUUAGAUUUUACAAUAAAGUAAGUGACAGCCUUGAUUACGUCUCGAUGAUUGGCUUCCGAUUUUCUCUGUUUUCUAUGUUCCAAGAGGAAUCCAGCGUCUCUUUCAGCCCUUUUAGGGUAUUAACCAUCGACGAGUGUGUUUAUGCGUUCGUGCAUUACACACGAUAAUGUAUCGCGGAUGGUGCAUCGUACGCAUAAAACAUCCGGACAGUCUAAACAAUCCAACGUAUCGUAAACCGCCCCAAAUAAAUCGCGCCGUGUUUUGCGUACGCAUAUAUAUUAGUAGGUUUCAUGGUAGAUGGACAAAAAUUUAUCCGUCGAUUCGAGUUCAUUCUGGGAAUGGAAUUUUGGAAUGAAAUUCGCGGAAUAUGAUUCUAGACAAUUCUCAAUUCUUGUAUAGGAAUAUAACUACGGAAGUGGAAUUUGCACGAGUAUCUCAUUUUUUAUAUAGUUUACAUAUUUUUCCACUUUACGCGCAUUCUCUAUAUUUUAUUUCGCAUCUCGUUACAACGCGAAUGUGGAAAUAUUUCAUACGACGCGCAUGACACAUUCAUAGAAAUUUUCUGUGAUAAAUGUUCGAAUACUUUUGUGAAUCACUGUAGGGCAUAAACUAAAAUAUUAAAAAAUAUUCCUUAUAUUUUUUAUAACAUCAAGAACUCUUGUAUUCGCCUAGUACAAGAAAAAUAUAGAAAUACAAAUAUAAAUAUACGGACUUUAGAACGUUGUUGAAAUAAAUCAUAAAAAUUUUGCAUUAAUUUAUUUUUCCUAUCAAUCGAGAGAUAUCUGAUAGUAAAAUUGCGACAAAUUUCGGACUAAAAUCGGAGUAAUGGUAGCCGUGAUGAUAGCCAUGACGGGAGCAAGUUCGUGAAAGUAUUGUCUUUUCCCGCGUCUCAUUCACAUUUAUUAGGUCAUCCCAUAAGUUCGUGCCGACUUUUGUGUACAUGUAUAUGACUCAUGUGUCGAUUUCUAAACAUACGGCGAUAAGGGACCAAUGCGCUUGAAAAAUGGGAAGAAGUUGUACAACGUGAGGGGAAUUACAUUUUUUCAUGAAACUGAAAGUUUAUCGUGUAUUUCGAGAAAAAGUAGAUCGAUCGUUACGAAUCUACCAAGGUUGGCCAGAAGAUCAGGUGUUACACGCCUCUUAAGACAGUCAACUAACUAUUGCGUUUCGCCAGAACCAUGGAGUAUCACAUCUUGCAACGAGAGAAAACACGUUGAAAUACGCGCAAUGCUCCGACGAUGAUUCAACCUUUGGUUCGAGUAAAUGUUACCAAAACGAAUGUCCACACCGAUAGCUUCCGCCAGACACCUAUAUGCGCGCCCACAGCACUCAAAGGGUUAGGAGUACAACAGAUAAGGCAAAUGUUGAGGUGUACGACAGCAAAGGAAGUAGGGAAGAGAGGAGAGAGAAACAAACUAGCAACCCAACCUAACCCCAACCUAGACACCUAUAUGCGCCCACAGCACUCAAAGGGUCAAUUCUCGGUGAGUUUUUUGCGUAUCAUUGCUAUUAUUAUUGUUUUGGUAUAAUUUUGGAAUGAAUGAAAGUGCAGAAGAAGACACACAUAUUGGCAAUUAGAGAAGGUCGAAGGGAUUAAAAAAUUAUGGUGGAGGCGUUAAAGAGAAUUCAAGGUCAUCUUGUUUUCUGACGCUGGACGUUAUAUUUAAUGUUAAUAUGUAGGGCGGCAGCCAUUUUUAAAAUCGGAUUAACGAUUUAUCGCCGAAGGUCAUUUGUAGUUUCGCUUCUUAACUUGUCGAUAAGACGAGCCUCGAGAUUACUUGGCUUUAAGAUGCGUACGUGAUUCUAUAUGAUUAUAGGUCAGUGAAACUUGUAACCAUAAAGUAUGAACUUACAGAUUAUAAUUACAUACAACUUCUUCUCUAAAACUGUUUUCUUCUUUGAAUAGAAUGUGUGCUCAAUUUUCUGACAUACAAUCUAUUCGUCAUACGAAGAUAUAUCAAAAUUUUAUAAUUAUAUGACAGUAAGUGCUAUUAAAUGAUACGAAAUUUGAUAUAAUCGAAUGUAAUUAAUUAGUAUAUGAAUGCAAAAAAAUAGCUGCAGUGUUGUACAAAUACUUUUUGUAGCCACUGCAUACGUUCAUUCCUAAGUUAAGAAUAUUUACGAAAAUUUAAGUAAAUCUGAAAAGUUAGCUAAGAUAUUUGCUACAUAUAGCUGAAAUUUUCGAUUAAAUUUAAUCGCCUAAGCGAUUCAAUUAUCGAAAAACAUUCUAAUCUAAACGCGAUAUUAAAUAGAAAACUAACUAAAAAUCCAAUGCUCUUGUGUCCGCGUACGUGCGGACACUUGAACAACCAUUGAAAUUGAUUUGAAAUGAAACACUUGAAAAUUAGAAAUUUUGAAACAGAACGAUGAAAAUCGGUAAGCACGAUGAAAUAAGAUAAAUAGCAUAUGAUCGAUAGUUAAAAUCCACAAAGUGCUGUUUACUUUCCUAAUUAAGAUGGAAAGAUAGAUAUUCAUAAACCACUAAUUGGAAACGUUCUCCGAAUCAGAGUUGUACGGAGGAAAUUGCCUCGAGCUAUUUCCUUCGAGAUCGUUUCAGACUGGCUGAAGAGGUUCCGCCCGAAAGCGCCAAAUUAGGACACGCAGCAUAGCCUACAGCGACAUAGAAGUUACUUACGUAAUCGCCUCUGAACGAAAUCGAUUUGUAUCAUCAUAUUUGAUUCCACUUGUCGAGAGAGGUUUGGACGAAACGCAGACACUCGUUUACAGAUAUCGCAUGGCGCGUGUAACCUUUCACUUUCGACAAAAACUACGCAUCAAAGCGUUGCAGAACGGCAAAUGGUGGAAGCGCGUGCAGCUAACGGCUGCGUGUUACGGUGUAACGAGCCACCGUAGGCAACUUUUAACCCUUUCCCUAGGAUAAAUCGAUUUUCAAUCGAAAAUUUGAAGAUCGCGCGCAGCCUUCUGCUGAUUAAUUGAAAUAUUCAGCUAAUGUACGUUAUUCAUCGCUGAAUUUAAGCUUGAACUUCUGAACGUCGAAAAUACCGAACAGCGCGACAGCGUUUGUCUUAAUCGAUUGCGAAGAGAAACAAGCCGUCAUAUUUCUUACUUUGUGAAAUACAUCUAUAUUAUUAUAUAUACGUACUAUUAGUUUAUAAAUGUUCCAAGUUUUGUUCAAUAAAAAUUAUCGAGAAAAUAACGAUGAAAUAGAAAAUACCGUCAGUCGUCCAUAACGUUCAAAUGUAUUGGGACUUUUCGACACAAAAUCUAAACAGCACGAUCGUGUCACACACUCAAGAAGGUCACACGCUCAGAAACAGUAAUAGGAUAGGCUAGACAUUUUGCAUACCACAACCAUCGAAACAAUAACCAAAUGGUAACGGAAUAGGCGCCUCUGAUAUACACCAGACGAUAAACCUUCCAGAGGGACUAAAACCUCGGUAUAAAAACCCUUCGAAAUAAGCGCUCAAAUCAGUCUGUUGUAACACUUUGAACCGUCACUCUGUUGGAUUUGUAUAAUAAAUUGUAUUACCAUAUACAAAGUUCGAUUUCUUCGCCUUAUUGCGAACCGUUCGAACUGCGACGCGAGGAGAUCAUCGGCGACCUAUCAUUUUCGUGAUUUCUCGUGUCUACGAGAUAAUCGCGCUGCUUGGGACUCAAACGGUUAAUUAAUACUUUAACGUUAUUUUAAUAUUAUUUUUUAUAUAAAAUUUGACGUUACAUUAAGAUUCUAAUUUAACCCUUUCGAGGCGGAUUUUUCCUUUCAAUAACAAUAUGUAUAAUAAUACAAGGAUAUUGAUUAACUGAUGUUUGAAAAAAGGAAAUAAAAGGAUUUCGUAAUUUUCAAAAUAGAAUAUUUGGUCCCAUUUAUCACGAGAACUACGUAUCUUGGUGAUAUCAGAAAAAUUUUAACGAUCAGGCAGUCUGUCUAAAAAAUACUUUGAAAUUGAUCGUACCAUUACCUAAUCUCGAGAAGCUUAACGUGGAUUUUUUAAAUUAAAAAACUUGAAAUUCUUGCAGAUUGGAGAACAAAAUUAUAUUCUAUUAUAGUAGUAAACGAGAUUGUUAGAAUAAUCUUCAAUAUAUUUAUAUAUUGUAUCGAAGAAGUUAUAUAUCCUCGAAUUACCAUUUAUCAUUUCGAUCCACAUCUUAGUAACUAACAUACUAAACACAGAGCUUCGAAGCAACAUUUAAAAUCGCAACAGCUAAAAGAAAGCUAACGAAAUAUAUUCCAAAGUUAACAGUUUAUUGAAAUUUAAUCAGACACAAGCAUCGUUCACAAUCUAACGGAAACACUGGUAUGCAAAGAAAUCUAUUCUUUUUCCUCGGCCACAAAUUAUUGCGUGAGAAUCGAAUAUCGUUAGAUGUUAACUGCUUCCAUUUACAAUUGUAUGAGGCACGAUUGUCAGAUUCGUUUCCUUUGAUAUUUACAUACAUUAAGCGUGGUAUUUUAGAAAAGCAGGUAAUAAUGCCGGUGAAACAAUAGAGAGCAGUUACUGUCAGGAAUUUUUGAUCGAUGUGAAUCAGUUAACGUGAUUAAAGAGACGUCGUGUCUGAUGAAAAAGCAUCGAAGUUGAGAGUAUCGAUCGUAGAUGAACCUGCGAAUUAUUUUAUAUUAAUAAUGCUAAGGAAAGUGUUGGAAGAUAUCUGCUAAUAUUUUACAACUACAGCAAAGUUUCGAUUAUCCGAACAAUAUUGCACUCUCUCUCUGUAUAUCAACGUCUUAUUGUUCGAUCGCGUUAUCGUAUUCGGAUCAUCGUUAGACACUGACGUAUCAACUAAAUGACACGAAUCAAUUAACUGGUAUUGAAAGACGAAAAGAAGAUCAUCUUGUUGAAGUGAAAAGUUCAACAAAAUAGUUGUAACUCGACUUGUAAAAUAAGAAAAUAAGAGAAACAGAUUAAAAGACGAAAGAAAGAAAUUACAGCAUAAAUUGGUAUUUAAAAGCUUUUUAUCUAAAAACAUGUGUUCCAUUGAGUUUUAUAGGACUCAAAAAUCUUAAAAAAGUUAGCAUAGAAUUCUACUUGGGUAGAAAAUUCUUUCGUCAAAAAUGUAUCAAGAUGAAAUAAAUUACUAUUAACAGAUGAUAUCUAGUCUACAUAAUUACAAAGUAAUCGCAAAUACGUGUUUAUUUUCUAACUAAUUGAUUCGAAUAAUAAUAAUCGAGAUUCUACGUUCUACUAUAAAGAUAGAAGAACUUACAAAGGCGUAAAAUAGGAUGUACUCGUAAUGUUUGUGAAUCAAUUGAAUGGACUUCCCAAUGAAUGAGAUGAUUCUAUCAAAAGUGUCUAUUAUGUACAUACAUUGAUUUAGGCUACUGAAUGAAAUUCAAUUGAAAUGCAAUUCGAUCAAUCUCACUUGCUAAUUUAGCUAUACUGAAAAUUCAGUAUAAAUCAAUGGAUCUAUUCUUCGUAUAAAAUAAAUUUGUAUUCUAUUAUUCAGAUACAGUAUAUUAUAAAUUAUACAUUAAUAGAGUUUGUCUCAUUGUGUAUAACAUUCAAUGAAUAUAUACACAAUCAUGAUCCUAUUAAAGAAUUCAGUUUGACCCAAAUAGAUUUGCUUUUCAUAGAAAUUUCUAUUACCUUAUUCUUCGAAUGUACCGAUGAGUCUUACAAUAUUCAAUA